UGGCUCAGGACGAACGCUGGCGGCGUGCCUAACACAUGCAAGUCGAACGAAGCUCCUGCGUUGAUCUUCGGAUGAAACAAGGGAAGACUAGUGGCGGACGGGUGAGUAACGCGUGAGCAACCUGCCUUUCAGAGGGGGAUAACAGUUGGAAACGACUGCUAAUACCGCAUAACGUAUUGAUGUCGCAUGGCAUUGAUACCAAAGCUGAGGCGCUGAGAGAUGGGCUCGCGUCCGAUUAGAUAGUUGGUGGGGUAACGGCCUACCAAGUCGACGAUCGGUAGCCGGACUGAGAGGUUGAACGGCCACAUUGGGACUGAGACACGGCCCAGACUCCUACGGGAGGCAGCAGUGGGGGAUAUUGCACAAUGGGCGAAAGCCUGAUGCAGCAACGCCGCGUGAGGGAAGACGGUUUUCGGAUUGUAAACCUCUGUCUUUGGUGAAGAAGGAAGUGACGGUAGCCAAGGAGGAAGCCACGGCUAACUACGUGCCAGCCGCGGC
rnacentral:rRNA from 1 species